CUACGGGUGGCUCCAGUGGGGAAUAUUGCACAAUGGGCGCAAGCCUGAUGCAGCCAUGCCGCGUGUAUGAAGAAGGCCUUCGGGUUGUAAAGUACUUUCAGCGGGGAGGAAGGGAGUAAAGUUAAUACCUUUGCUCAUUGACGUUACCCGCAGAAGAAGCACCGGCUAACUCCGUGCCAGCAGCCGCGGUAAUACGGAGGGGGCAAGCGUUAAUCGGAAUUACUGGGCGUAAAGCGCACGCAGGCGGUUUGUUAAGUCAGAUGUGAAAUCCCCGGGCUCAACCUGGGAACUGCAUCUGAUACUGGCAAGCUUGAGUCUCGUAGAGGGGGGUAGAAUUCCAGGUGUAGCGGUGAAAUGCGUAGAGAUCUGGAGGAAUACCGGUGGCGAAGGCGGCCCCCUGGACGAAGACUGACGCUCAGGUGCGAAAGCGUGGGGAGCAAACAGGAUUAAUACCCCCGUAGUC
rnacentral:rRNA from 1 species